AUUACUGAUUAAAAGAUUGUUUUUGGGACGCGCGUCCCAAAAACAAAAAUUACAGUACAUUUCAUAGUAAAUAUCGCGAUUUUCGAAAGCUUAUUAUUCGAAGGGUAUCCAUGUAAACGUCUUCAAAUACUGUAUACUUACUAAUUUUGAGGUGAUUUGGUUCAUUUCUUAAUUUGGGCACUUUUUAACACUCGUCCCCAGUCCUCUCAUCAACUUCGGAA